ensembl:lncRNA
CGUUUUACUACAGCAGUGAGUCUGAGUCUGACUGAGAGUGGUAAAUCUCCUCCCAGUUAUGUUUCUACUGUGUAGUAGAGGAAAACCAGUGAAGAGUGAUUUCCAAUAUUGCAAUUUAAUGGCCAGGAAAUUAAGGCUACAAAGCUAAAUAGAACACAAAGUUACAAAUGUCUACUUCUGACUAGUUUGAAGAAAAUAAUAAUAACAAUAAUAAUAAUUAUUCUAAAUAUAAUAGUAAUAAUUAUUAUUAUUAUUAUUAUGAGUAGUAGCAGUAGUGUAUUAUUAUGUUACAUUACAUUACAUUUAUUGCAUCUGGUAGACACCCUUAUCCAGGACGACUUACAUGUAUCUAUCUAAUUUAUACAACUGAGCAGUUGAGGGUUAAGCCCUUGCUCAAGAGCCCAGGAGUGGUAGCUUAGUGGUGCUGGGAUUUGAGAACUCAUGAUCUUCUGGUCAGAAGUCCAAUGUCUUAACCACUGAGCUGUUAAAUGCAAUGUUCUCAAUUUGUUUUAUUUUAAAACUUUAAUGACAAAUCCCCAAUUAAAUGGAAUUCAUUAUGACAAGAAAGCCACAAGCAGAUAUUUGUAGCCAGACAUAUAACUAAUUAAAAGCAAAAAUUUAUCCUUAAUUAAAAACAAACAAAAACAAACAAAAUGCCAGUUGUGCUAUAAUAUAGUAUAAUCAGUGUAGUGGAUUGGUGUCAUUUUCUCUGCCCAUUGUAUAUAUGUUCCAAAUUCCUUAUUAAAAUGUGAGGAAUUGUAUAGUUGACUAAAUUUAUUGUGGCAACUAGGAAACAUUUUUUGCUGCUGACCUCAACUUAUACACCGAUCAUUCUUAAAGAUGAUGUGGGUAUUAUAUUAUUUAAAUCAUAAUAAUUUCAUGAUUUUUUUUUUUUGUUUAAUUGUUUUUACAUCACAGUUGACUGUUAUAUAUUUAUGCUCUUUUUUUAAGUUCCUGACUUAUGGUGGAUCUGAUUGACCAAAAUGAAAAUUAAAAGAAAUAAAUGAAUAAGUGACUAUGUAAAAAAAAAAACCAAAAAACAUAUUUUAUUGAUGAUUUUUUUUUUAUUUAUGUGUGUAUAUAAAAAAAUUAAUAAAGCAAAGCAUAAACACAAACAAAAAUACAAACACAAAAAAAUAACCUCAAGAAUAAAAACAUAGAGUAGUAGAUAAAUUCAGAAAUAAAUCAAUUGUGGAAUACAUUACAAAGAAAUGAAUACAGAAAUAAAUGUAUAUACCAAAAUAUAUAUUUUUUUAAAUUAGGCCAUACGUAAUUUGUAAAAUGUAAAGAUAUUUUGACAUUGAGUGCGUAUUCAUUCAUUGACUUAAUCAUUCCUUUAGAGUCUUUUGAUCUGGUCUUCUUUAGUAGCGUGUGCUCUGAGUAGCAGGGGAAGUUUGUCCAUUCCUGCAAUGCACUGGAAGUAUUAUUUCAGUCAAAAAUAGAAUUUUAUCUUUUCUUUUUUUUUUUUUUUUUAGUUUUGCACUGGAGCGUGUUAACACAAAAGAGAAGUGCAUAGUCUCCAGUUUAGCAUUAUGUUUACAGCACAUCUAAAUCAUCUCUACUGUCUAGACUUUACUAGCUCUAUACAAUUUGGAUAAUUCUAACAAUAAAAAUACAUUGUCUGUUAUGUUUGUUUAAUGCUCCCUUUGCUUCUCAGUCAGGCCCAGAUGAGUUUUAGCAUAUAACUUAUAUAAUAUACAUACAUACAUUAUAUACAUUACAAUAUACUGUACAUUAUAAUAUACACUUCCCAUUUGUUAGCCCACUAGCUUGCCUGUAACUGAGCAAUGUAAAGACUUUUUCCCCAUUUACUCUUCUUUGUAACAAAGGCCUUAAUUGCAAAAAAAAAACAAAAAAAAACAAAACAAAACAAAACAAAAAACCCAUGCGAACUUGAUAACACUGUAAACCAUAAAAGACUUCCAAGCUCAUCUACUAACAGGACCUACUGAUGAUUGCAUUUUUUCAAAUGAACAAAAUAGCAUGUUUUGCAGUAGUUUGCACAUUUACACUAAAGAACACACAUUUUUGUCCAAACAACAGUAGUAUCUCUCCUAUUAAAAUGCAACUUUUGAGAGACACUCUCUCUCACAGUGGCAAUAUCACCAUAUAAAACCUGACACCGAACCACAAGAAAGUGCUCUCUUUUCUUGCAGCUAUCUUCACAGCAUGUAAACAGUUUGACAAAAAUAGAAAGCCACACUCGCUCGUAGCAUCUCGUGGAACGUACAUAAUUUUUAAGAAUCGGUUUAAUGAAGAAAAAAAAAAGAGAAAAAAAUCUGAAAAGAUUUUUUCAUACUUCACUGUAAGCAAAAGCAGCCAUGUUGUUGUGGAGAGCAGCUUUAAUAAUUCAUUCUGUACCAUUUCCCUGUGUGGUUUGAUUUUGAUGAUGGGAGGGAAAAAUCAAAGGGUGCAGUUUUCCAGGAAACUUGCAGUGUUCAAUUGCCGGAUAAGUGCCCAAGAACAUCUGGCAGAGUUCACCCUGCACUCUUAACAGUCAAUUAACACACUCAGUUCUCAGUUCUUGUUUCCCUAUUUAUAUACUGAUUGCCCUCAGGCAGACUGAUUAUCUCUAUACCCCCCCUUCCCCUCCCCCCAAAAAGUUCGGAUAUGUAAGCAAGCUGCACACACACUUUAUUAGUGAUUUGUAUGAAAAGAUAAGAUUAAGCUACAGGGCCCUUGAAGGGAUUGUAUGAGAAAUCCAGAAAUAAAUACACUAUUCUUCUGCUUAUUCUAACUGUUAUUAAUCAUGCCUGAAAGUUUUUUAAUUGAAGAUAUAAUAAGGCAUGUACUGUAACUAUAUGACAAUGAAUAGACAAGUUAUCAAUUAAAUAUUUAGUGUUGGUUAUGUCUCAUUUUAUCCAAGCUCUACCUUAAUGUGCUGCAGUUGUUUGGUGAAGCUGUCCACUAUUUUCAUGUGAAUCUGACAUGAUCAUGUAUUUGUUGCAACGUUUUUUAAUGACCACUAAAACACGUGAGUGUGAAGUCAGGAAAAAGAUGUCAUGCUUGCCAAGCCAAGAUUGGGUGGAGAGCGAGGAAAAGGUCGUUGAGCCAGAAUUCCUGUAAUCUGCACAGACCCUCCCAAAUCCAAAGCUUCCUCAUCUGCCCUGCGCUCACCUUUUCCCCUUUACCCUGAAUCAACCUGCUUCCUGUCCAAACGCUCACACGCUACCCAGCCACUGGGCUUCAUUCGUCAUUUUACUUUUCUCUGUUAGGAAGCGUGGGAAGACAGUGUGCAAUUACCUGUGAAUGUUCAUGCAACGUUCAAAUAAAUUAGAGCAGGUGAAGGAGGGUUAGGAGAUUGAAAAACUGUUAGCUGAUAAACUGGUCACAGAUUUGUGGAGUAACGGAAUACAUGCAACGGCAUUACGUAAUCAGGAUACAAAACACUGGAUGAAUCAGACAAAACAAAUGAAUCAGAUUACAGGUACAUUUUGUUAAAAACAAACAAACAACAAAAAAACAAAAAAGGAAUACUAUAAGGAUUCUUUUUUUCUUUUCAUUUAAAACCAAAGAAAUUAAUCUUUUGACAUGACACAAUAUACACAGCUGCUUGAUUUAUAGUUCUAGUUCUAUCUUGCCAGUCGUGACUCACGUGAGCAACCUCCUGGUGCAUGUGCAAAUAAAUAUUGUGCAAAGUUAAUUUGGUAGAAAUUAACACACAUUGUUCUCUGAAAUGCUUUUGUUAGGGUGACCAUGCGUCCUCUUUUUCCCGGACAUGUCCUCUAUUUCAGACCUUGAAAAAGCAUCCGGGCCGGGAUUCCUAUAUUUGUGAAAAUGUCCGGGAUUCGGCUUUAGUUUCAUUACGAUGUGUUUAUGGUCUAACACUGCAUCAUGUGUGCGCAUAUUUGCAUUGCUUUAACCCCUCUCUGUAAUUCCCACCUUCUCACACACCAAUUGGUUGAUUAUAAAAAGCUUGCAGCAACUAUUGUCCAAAUUUCUACCGCUCAGUCGUUGAAGGCGUGAAGGGAAACGCUGUUGUGUACGGCAUCAAACAGCUUGACAAUAGCAGCAAAUGACAGCAGUCCUGAGUCAAAACAAUAAUGCCCAUGGCCGUAUAAGGUCAUUUUUAAUUUCUCAGUCAGGCUACAUAUUACAUAAUCAUUCAGAUGUGUGAAUGAUAACAGAAGGUACAUUCGUGGCAUCUGAGAUCCAAACAUUGAACAUGUUUUCAGCUUAAAAUAAGCUCUAAAUAAAAGUAUUUUAGAUUUUAGAUGCUUUUCUCUUGACUUUAUUUGCAUAUGUGACCUUGAAGUAAUCCAAAAAUAAUCAGAUUACAUUACUAUUGUGAUACUUGGAUUACAUUACUGAUGACAUUUUUUAUGAAGUAAUUUGUAACUGUCACAGAAUACAUUUUUAAAGUAACCUUCCCAACCCUGCAUAUGAGACCUCACAUGAUCCUGGUGGAACCCAGGAUGGUGUUUGUGGACAAGAAGUUGAAAGACUGGCAUCACGGAGUGAGCUUGAGAAAGAGGAAGUGAAAGGAGAUGGUCAUAAAGUAAACACAAUGUAUUGUAGUCAAUGAACACAAACAGUGGUAAAAGAAAAAAAUAUAUUGUUAUUAUAAUUAUUAUUGUUGUUACUAAAUGUAUUUUGGUAUUUAAUUUUGAGGUAUUGAGUUUUCAAUAUUUCCUAACCUUACAAUGUUUCAGAAGCUUUUGUUUGCCAUCACAUGCAUAGUUAUACACAGUAUACACAACAAUAAUCCUCAAACAAACCCAGGUUUUUUUCAGGUUUUGAUCUCUUACUCUCUACCUCACAUGGUUCCUCAACAGGUAUUUUUAGCUCAGGCCUUCAUAAAGCAGAAGGGUGAGAGUAUUACACAUGCACAACGUGCCUUUCCUGAACUGGUCUUAAAAGUUAUUUAAGAUAAAAAUAAUAAUAAAAACUUAAAUGUAUACCACAGGUCCAUUAUUUUUUUUAAUUUUUUUUUUUUUGGAACUCAUUUUUUUUAGUUAAGAUCCUAUUUCCCUAGUAUUGGAAUUAGAAUUUUUCUUUUCUUUUUUUUUUUUCAAAAGCAAGUUACCAAUACCAAAAUACAAAACGUAGAAACAAUGUGCAUUUUUGUUAUAUAAUUCAUUAACACUGACAGGGGACAUUGGACAUAGGAAUAGGAAUAAUGUUGAGUAAUAUGUAGCUCACAGUGUGUUUAAUAUAAUCAAACUAUAGGCAAAAUAUUGCCUAUAGUUUGUACUACAGUCUGCAUUACAUAGCCUACAAUAUAUGACAAAAUAUAAAAAUUCAACAAAAUAUUAUUUUGUAAUUGUCUAUAUCAUAUCAUUGCCACCUCACAGCUACAGGGUCCCCACUUCAAGCCUGAACCCAGAUUACUGUCUGUGGGGAGUUUCACAUGUUCUUGCUGUGUCUAUGUGGAUUUCCUAUACGCUUGUCCGGUUUCCUCCCACUUCCCAAAAAACAAGAUGGACUGGCUAUGCUUAACUGCGCUUCAUUGUGAAUGGGUUUGCAUGUGUGGUGCCUUGAAUUGGUCUGCUGUCCCAUCCAGGAUGUAUCCGUGCCUUGCAUGACCUUGCCCAGGAUGAGGUGGUUACUGAAAAUGAAUGAAUGAAUGAAUCCAUCCAUCCUCUAUACCGCUUAUUUUACAGGGUGGCGGGGAACCUGGAGCCUAUCCCAGGGAGCAUGGGGCACAAGGCAGGGUACACCCUGGACGGGGUGCCAAUCCAUCACAGGGCACACUCACAUACACAUUCAUACACUACGGACACUUUGGACAUGCCAAUCAGCCUACCAUGCAUGUCUAUGGACCAGAGGAGGAAACCGGAGUACCCGGAGGAAACCACCGCACCACAGGAAGGACAUGCAAACUCCAGAUGUAUUGAUAGUUUUACAUCAUUAUUGGUGAUUGUACCUGAUGUAUGCACAAAUGCUUGAGAAACACAUCAUUUAAAGGUUAAAUGAUUUAAUUAACAAUAAAUGAAUAAACCACAUUUCAUACUUUUUAUUUGUAGCAUCCUAAUAAAAAAAGGCCCAUCUCAAUUGACAUUUCUUUAAUACAAUUUCAAAAUGUGUUUAAAUACGAGUAUAAAUAUAUAAAUAUAUAUAAGUUGGUAUUUACAUAGCUAAAUACAUUACAGAUCACAGGCCAAUCCAAUAAAGUAUACCCCCAAAGACAAAGAGGUAGAUUUUCUCCCCCCCCAAAAAAAGCAGCAGAAUAAAGAUGUCAUACACAACACUCUUUCCUCAGUGUAUUAAAGCAGGGUUUGAAAACAAAACGGUCAUUAAUAACUUGGCAUCAUGGCCGCUGGUAUGAAUAUACAGCGCAAGAGUGCAUUUGCAAAGCCAUAGCUGAAUGAACGAAUAUACGGCUGGGAUAUGUGUAGGGCACGAGUGGGCGGCCGCAUAUCAAGAGACAGAGAUAGAACCAGAGAGAGGGAGAGAUACAUAUAGAUGCUUGACAACUAAUAUUUCUGCAUUCCAAGCACUCAGCAGUUUCCUUCCACGCUGUUUUUUCCUCAAUGAAAUUGCUCAGCUCUCUACAGCUGUGUAUUCCCCUCUAUCUUUUUUUAUCUCACCUUGCCUGCCUGUGGAGUAUGUAGGCCAAGGUAUGACCCGAGUGGAAUAGCCUUUCACACAGCUGAUAAUUCCACACUUAACAGAGCACUUUACACACAGGAAAAGAUCACCAUGUCAUGUUUACUGUCUGGCAGCUACUCUGCGUCAUCUCCCAUAGCACAGAUAGAAGAGAUUGUUAGACUGAUAUCAACUACUCGUGAGGCCCUCAAUCUUUCAGUCAUAAUUAGGCAGCCAUCAAGCUACGUUUUAAGAUAAUGCUCUUAUGACUGCUUAAUUCAUACUCAUCCCUAAAUUUCAUACCACAGCUGUUGCUUUGUAAACACUUCCCCCUAAUUUACUGGUCUAUAUAAUUUCUUCAAAAUGAUCACUUAUGCAUGACUACCGCACCUGGUCCCUACAAUUCCUUUCACUUAAGCGGUGUUCGAAUGAACUGAGAUGCACUAUAGCCUGCAGCAACAGCAUUCUGUAUUGUUGAAAACACCAUCAGAGCAUAUUGUUUUUCCCAAUGUCUUUUACAAGGCACACCUUUCCUUUUCAAAAAGAAAUGGAGGAAUUAUUUACCAAUUAAUCUCGGUUCACAGAAAGACCUUUCAGUAAGCAUUUAGAUAUUGACAUUCUUGAAAUACAUCAUUCAUAAUAAAAAAAAAGAAUUUAAAAAAUCCAUUUGUUCUGCAAAUGACAGUGUUAAAGAACGUUUAUGACUGCAACUGCAAUCCGUCAUUAGUUUCAUGGAGACACUCAAGGGAAUUCCCACUGUACAAAAUCUGACUGAAGCCAGAUGAACGGAUAUUCUUCAACAACUGUCUUCUCAAGUAUACCCUAUGUGCUGUUUCUCUUCAUUGAUGCUAAAUUGGUGUCCUUUUUCUACUUGCAAUCUUUUCUCUAGCUGAAUGGGCCAGGAGGUUCUUACUUGUCAAAUAAACUAAAUAAACUCAUGGGAUCGGUUUCAUCCUGAAUAAUAAAUUAUUCACUUUUUUUUAAUCCCAGAAAAACAUUCUUGUCUUGAAUACUUUCUCUACCAAUCAUAACGAAUAAACAGGUUCUCAGUAUACAACCAGAGCUUAACAAUUGAACAACACUCACAAUAUUUCACAAACCAAUUCAUUCAUCCAAGUGAAAUACAAUAAAUAGUGAUGGAAAGCCAACAUAAUAAUAAUAAUUAUAAACACACACACACACACACACACACACACAUAUAUAUAUAUAUAUAUAUAGAGAGAGAGAGUUCAUUAAUUUGGUAUUUAUCUACCAACCUGGGUGAAGGUCUUUCUUCAAAUGGAGAGAAUUCCAGACACGGUGUAAUGAUUGGUAUUUCUGCCAUGGGGAUGGAUGUGAAAUGCUAGAAUGAUGGCAGUUUAUGGAACUGGAGCAAUGGGGGGUUUAUGAGCAGGGUGUGAAAGAGAAGGGCAGCAGACGGGACUGAUGGAAAGUAACCCCUUAAGACAGAAAUGACAUGAGAAUCAGGAUUAGCUUGAAUGGAAAAGCUGCUGUUGGCCAAUAGGUUUAUGAAGAGCAAAAGGCCAAAGAGAACGGUGAGAAGGUACUGUACGCCACUUGAGUCCCACUUGCUCAAGGCACAGGAGUGAAGUAAACUCUGGAUGCAAGUCAUGACAUCUGGUGUCCUUUUGUGUUUUUUCUCCUUUAGUAAUAUCAUUCUCUGUGAAGCAGAGAAAUGAAGUCUCAUCUCUGAAGGCAAGAUUUUCACCAACUAACCCAAAACAAAAAGGGCUUUGGUUUUUUUCCUUGUAUAUUUCCUCAGAUGAUUCGAGGCACAGACUUACAGUGAAGAAAACAGAGGUUUACACAAAUGGUGAGAAUAUCAGAAAUCCUAUAGAUUAAUCCUCACCUAUUCUGCUUUGGGUAGACCUAGGAGCACACCUUCCUAUAGAAUUCAGUUCCAACUCUAAUGCAACACACGUGCUACAGAUAAUCAAUCUACUUGCCUAGUCAGUUCAGCUCGAUCGAUCGCAGACAGGAACUGAAUUCAGUAAGAAGAUAGGCUUCCAGGAAUGUGGUCACUGCUCUAUAUGUGAACACUGCACCCAGCCUGACAUUGUAAAACUCUGACAGAGAAGUGGAAGUGGAAUAGCAUGCAGCAUGCUUGUUCUUAAUCUUCCUGGCUGCACACACACACAAUGUUUCCUGCUCAUGCCAUCUCUCACCAGUAAGGACUAGUUGAGGCUCAGCUCAGGUUCCACUCUCCCAUUGCGUAAAAAGCUCACACAUUGCUGUAGUGUCACAGGACAGGGGAAUGACGUGCAACGAUUACGGGGUUGCAGCUCUGCUUUUUGUCGCGGUGUCUGGUUGCCUUCUCUGGAUCACUUCUUUGCUAGCCUUGGAGAGACAUUUGACCCCAAAGGCAGGAAUGCAGGGGACUGACGGCUGUGUUGACGGCAGCACUGACUUCAGCAGUGGCUUGGUGUUACGGCCCAAGCGUUAAGUGUCUUAAAUGUGCAUGUGGCUCUGGAGUUGUUUUGACACUAGACACUUGCUGAGUGGCAGUAAACCAUGUGCGAACCCUCAUACUUGUCCACUGGGUUGCAUGGCUCCCUGGGUGUCCUGAACACAUUGUCCAUCUGUCCUUUUUCCAUGUUCACACUGCUGCUACCUGAGUGAAUACAUGGACCGAAGUUUGGCAAAAAGAAAUGCUAAACAAAAGGCAAGGUGGCAUCACAACUCCCUGUGUUCUCAAUCAAAAGCAUCUUCGUCCUUGUAGUCUCUCCUCACAGGGGACACGGUUCAGUGGUAAAGGGUUCUCCUGCUUUCUUUUUCCUGCGUUUCUUCUUAUGUGUUGUCCAACAGGCAGUAGCCAUUACCAUCAGGACCAGCCCGACAAUCAGCAAGACCACAGAGACCACCUUGGUCUGUGGGAGAUCGUUGUAGGUGUAGGUCACGCUCGUGCCAGCUAUACCAAUUACCAGUGAGAUGAUUCCAAAGGGGAAGAUGCAGCGAUACCAAGAUUUUUCCAUGCCCCCUGUGGCCUGAGAAAGCUUCUCUAAAGAAGACAGGACCUCUGGGACUUUGGCUGCCCCCUCCGGAGUCUGUCCCUCCUGGUUGGUGUUUGAAGAAGGCUGGGGCUGGCAUGCCAGGUGCCCUGUGGUACAGCCCAUUUUUAAAAAAUUAGAAGCCAGUGAGGCUAUUGGAAGCCAGGUGGAAACUUCCUCUACUGUACUCCGAAUCCAGUACUGGCUUGAGAAGAGAUGAAGCCUAGAUCUAAACAGUCCGAUGUGAAACUACGUGCAAAAGGAGCAUGGCCAGCAACAAAACAUCCCUACGUGCAAAAGGAGCAUGGCCAGCAACAAAACAUCCGAAGUCCCUGUGCAGUCCUCCUCUCUUUCUCUGCUGUGCAGUGUUAUAAUAGUCUGCACUGUGAAUCAGCAGCAGCAUGUUGAACACUCUCCCAGCUGGACUGCGUGUGGGUAUAUAAUGUGCCAAAGGCAGGGGGUGGAGUAAAGAAGCAGUGAAGGGGCUGGACAGUGGCAGUGAUUGGCUGAAGCCACAGUGUGACGUUGAAUACAAGAGCAGAGGAAUGGGGAUCAAAAGAAGAGCUGGAAAGAAGAAGAGAGGGUGGGAGUUAACCAUUCAAAUGCUGUCACACUCUUGCUUUUUCAGGGUUUGCUGCAGCCGUCCUUCCUACAGGAAAUGGCAUAACAAAUACAUCCCAAAAGGAACAGAUCAUAUGAGCAUGUAAUGGCAUUAAAGACACAAGAAUAUUGUGUCAAAUCCUACAAUCCCAAACAAAUUUCCAUUUUUAUCUGUGAGCAAACAGAGGGAAUUCCAUGUGAGAGCACAGCUGAGCACUGCAUGCUCCCUCUGUG